rnacentral:lncRNA from 1 species
AAGCACUGCCCACCCCCAUUAGCUCCUACCGGAGUCACGGCUGUCACCGCCGCUUACGUGCAGUCCUGUAUCCUGGUGUUUCCCGAAGGCUGGCUUUUCCUCCCCGGAUCUGUAACUCGACAGUAUAAUAGCAGGUCAGUACCAGAAGUUUCCUUAAAUGUUUUGCAUACUCUCUCCUGUGUGCUGCCUCAAAGGAUUUUAAUGAUGACUGUGUUUAAUGGGAAGUCUUUUCUCUCUAUUAAUCCCCUCCUGCAGAAAACUUGGCGGGUUUGCCAGCCUGCCGGGGGGUUGCUGCGUCUGGGCAAAGCAGCCCCUUCACUCACUACCUAUGACGGGAAGGAGCGUGGAGCCACCGAAGAGGGUGUCCGCUUGGCCGGAGCUUGGCUGGAGCGAGCAGGAUACGUGGCCCAGGAGGCUGAUCCCAUUGGACUAGCCUGUCUGUGGCUUCCUGUUGGGGUCAAUGGAUGGGGAGCCCUCAAGGGGAUUCAGAGGGACAGAAGGUUGCAGGCUGUUGCAGCUGACGGAAUUUGCUGUUGGCAGAGACUGCCUGCUGCCAGACAAGGUUGUGUCUGUUCCACAAAAGCCCAGCUCCCUCUGCCAGGAGCUCUUGGCACCGGAGGUCACCAAGCCCGCUGUGGGGCCUACCUACGCCAUCAACAGUGAUGAUGUCUCAUGUAUGAAUAAUGCCUUGACAGAGCGUUUCUCAACUCCUUCCUGCAAAGAAGGGAUCAGAGAGUCUAGGGGGAAGGUAAGCGCCUGCCCAAGGCCACACGGUUGUGAGGGGGAAGGGCAGGAGUGAAAGCCAAGGUCAGGGUGGGAGCAGAGAUCAGGGCAGGACCAGCCAGCUCCGGGUGCUGUGGACUGAGAGGUUCAAAGGAAGUAGAAAUGUCAAUACAUGGGAAACAGGUGGACUGAAAAAUCGAUGGCGGUGCUGAAGGGUCUUAAGCAAUCAAUAUUUGUGUAGGAUGUGCGGAGAAGCAGCUGAGCUAACAUGAGCUUCAUCUGCUGAAGGUGCUGAUGAGCUAACGUGUGGAAUGGGGAGGACCGAGCAGUUCACAGGAAGGGUGUGUAUCAGUUAGCAUGAAACUGCUGCGUAACAAAAUAGCCCCAGGCUCAGGGGCCUAAAGGUCAGCUGAUGGCCUAGUCUGGGCUUGGCCAGAGAAGCUGUUUUUUUUUCUCCAGAGACAGCAGGCCAGCCAGGCCUGUCCUGCUCCUGAUGCUGGCAGAAGCAUGAAAAGACAAAUGCAAAGGUGCAGACACUUGAGACCCAGACCCGGAGCUGGCUGAGAAUGCUCAGGCCCUCCUGGUGCUCUUGGGCAAACAGGGCCCACGGGGGACCCCGCAGGCAGGGGGUGGGGAAGUAGUCUUCACCCCUUCAGUGGGAGGAACUUCAGAGUCC